UCUGGGACAAGCCCUGGAAACGGGGUCUAAUACCGGAUAACACUUUCCCUCUCAUGGGGGAAGGUUAAAAGCUCCGGCGGUGAAGGAUGAGCCCGCGGCCUAUCAGCUAGUUGGUGGGGUAAUGGCCUACCAAGGCGACGACGGGUAGCCGGCCUGAGAGGGCGACCGGCCACACUGGGACUGAGACACGGCCCAGACUCCUACGGGAGGCAGCAGUGGGGAAUAUUGCACAAUGGGCGAAAGCCUGAUGCAGCGACGCCGCGUGAGGGAUGACGGCCUUCGGGUUGUAAACCUCUUUCAGCAGGGAAGAAGCGAAAGUGACGGUACCUGCAGAAGAAGCGCCGGCUAACUACGUGCCAGCAGCCGCGGUAAUACGUAGGGCGCAAGCGUUGUCCGGAAUUAUUGGGCGUAAAGAGCUCGUAGGCGGCUUGUUGCGUCGGUUGUGAAAGCCCGGGGCUUAACCCCGGGUCUGCAGUCGAUACGGGCAGGCUAGAGUGUGGUAGGGGAGAUCGGAAUUCCUGGUGUAGCGGUGAAAUGCGCAGAUAUCAGGAGGAACACCGGUGGCGAAGGCGGAUCUCUGGGCCAUUACUGACGCUGAGGAGCGAAAGCGUGGGGAGCGAACAGGAUUAGAUACCCUGGUAGUCCACGCCGUAAACGUUGGGAACUAGGUGUUGGCGACAUUCCACGUCGUCGGUGCCGCAGCUAACGCAUUAAGUUCCCCGCCUGG
rnacentral:rRNA from 1 species